GGAUCAACAUGGGAUCAACAUGAUACCAACACGGGAUCAACACGGAAUCUGCAUGGGAUCAACAUGGGAUCAACAUGAUACCGACAUGGGAUCUACAUGGGAUUAACAUGAGUAGAGCAGCAAAGCAACACGGGAUCGACAUGGAUCAACAUGGGAUGGACACGAGUGAAGCACCAAAUAAACACGGGAUCAACAUGGGAUGGACAUGGGAUUAACAUGAGUAGAGCAGCAAAGCGACACGGGAUCAACAUGGGAUGGACAUAGGAUGGACAUGGGAUUAACAUGAGUAGAGCAAC
rnacentral:lncRNA from 1 species